rnacentral:rRNA from 1 species
AGUGAACGCUGGCGGUAGGCCUAACACAUGCAAGUCGAACGGCAGCACAGUAAGAGCUUGCUCUUACGGGUGGCGAGUGGCGGACGGGUGAGGAAUACAUCGGAAUCUACUUUUUCGUGGGGGAUAACGUAGGGAAACUUACGCUAAUACCGCAUACGACCUACGGGUGAAAGCAGGGGAUCUUCGGACCUUGCGCGAUUGAAUGAGCCGAUGUCGGAUUAGUUAGUUGGCGGGGUAAAGGCCCACCAAGGCGACGAUCCGUAGCUGGUCUGAGAGGAUGUUCAGCCACACUGGAAGUGGACCACGGUCCAGACUCCUACGGGAGGCAGCAGUGGGGAAUAUUGGACAGUGGGCGCGAGCCUGAUCCAGCCAUGCCGCGUGGGUGGAGGAAGCCUUCGGGUUGUAAAGCCCUUUUGUUGGGAAAGAAAAGCUGCAGGUUAAUACCACGCUGUUAUGACGGUACCCAAAGAAUAAGCACCGGCUAACUUCGUG